UACGUAGGGUGCAAGCGUUAAUCGGAAUUACUGGGCGUAAAGCGUGCGCAGGCGGUUUUGUAAGUCAGAUGUGAAAUCCCCGGGCUUAACCUGGGAACUGCGUUUGAAACUACAAGGCUAGAGUGUGACAGAGGGGGGGUGGAAUUCCACGUGUAGCAGUGAAAUGCGUAGAGAUGUGGAGGAACACCGAUGGCGAAGGCAGCCCCCUGGGGUUAACACUGACGCUCAGGCACGAAAGCGUGGGGAGCAAACAGG
rnacentral:rRNA from 1 species